rnacentral:siRNA from 1 species
AUGACCCGGUUGAUGGAUGAUACC